rnacentral:rRNA from 1 species
ACCCUGGUUGGGUUGUGCUGGCCUCUAGGGGCAUGUGCACGCCUAGCCACCGUUUUCAACCACCUGUGCACCUUUUGUAGACCUGGAUACCUCUCGAGGCAACUCGGUUUGGGGAUUGCUGUGCUGUCAAAGCCAGCUUUUCUUACCCGUCCGGUCUACGUCUUUAUAUACCCCAUAAGAAUGUAACAGAAUGUCUAUUUACUGGCCUCCGUGCCUUUAAUCUAAUACAACUUUCAACAACGGAUCUCUUGGCUCUCGCAUCGAUGAAGAACGCAGCGAAAUGCGAUAAGUAAUGUGAAUUGCAGAAUUCAGUGAAUCAUCGAAUCUUUGAACGCACCUUGCGCUCCUUGGUAUUCCGAGGAGCAUGCCUGUUUGAGUGUCAUUAAAUUCUCAACCUAACCAGCUUUUGCGAGCUUGGAUAGGCUUGGAUGUGGGAGUUGCGGGCUUCUCAGAAGUCGGCUCUCCUUAAAYGCAUUAGCGAAWCCUUUGUUGACCAUCCCUGGUGUGAUAAUUAUCUACGCCACCGAAGGCCGGCUGCUUAUAUAGGGCUUUGCUUCUAACCUGUCCGUUCGCUCUUUGUAGUGGACGACAACCCCCUGACAUUUUGACCUCAAAUCAGGUAGGACUACCCGCUGAACUUAAGCAUAUCAAUAAGCGGAGGAAAAGAAACUAACAAGGAUUCCCCUA